CCUACGGGAGGCAGCAGUGGGGAAUAUUGGACAAUGGGCGAAAGCCUGAUCCAGCAAUGCCGCGUGAGUGAUGAAGGCCUUCGGGUCGUAAAGCUCUUUUACCAGGGAUGAUAAUGACAGUACCUGGAGAAUAAGCUCCGGCUAACUCCGUGCCAGCAGCCGCGGUAAUACGGAGGGAGCUAGCGUUGUUCGGAAUUACUGGGCGUAAAGAGUACGUAGGCGGUUAUUCAAGUCAGAGGUGAAAGCCCGGGGCUCAACCCCGGAACUGCCUUUGAAACUAGAUAACUAGAGUCUUGGAGAGGUUAGUGGAAUUCCGAGUGUAGAGGUGAAAUUCGUAGAUAUUCGGAAGAACACCAGUGGCGAAGGCGACUAACUGGACAAGUACUGACGCUGAGGUACGAAAGCGUGGGGAGCAAACAGGAUUAGAUACCCUGGUAGUCCACGCCGUAAACGAUGAUAACUAGUUGUUCGGUCACUUGGUGACUGAGUGACGCAGCUACGCAUUAAGUUAUUACCGUCCGUCGGGUAGGUACGGUCGCGAAGAAUUAAACUACAAUAGAAGUUAGACGGCGUGAGACGUAGCCGAACGGACGACGACGAGGGAGUAGG
rnacentral:rRNA from 1 species